ACAGGGACCUGAAACGGUUCCAGUUCCUCUAGUCGUGUGCGAAGCACUCCUAUGAUCCAAUACACCAGCGCAUCGAUGCCAAUGAAGAACAGCCAGAUAAGCAGCGGGAAAAUGGAGGGCCUGCCCCGGGCCCUCUGCUGCUCGUCGUACCGCAGCAGGGCGUUGGUGAUGAAGAUGUUCUGAAACCUCCUGUCCGUGCGGUACUUCUUCACGUAGCGGAAGGUGAGGAACACGAGCAAAAGGAUGCCCAGCCCUGGGAAACACUUCUGGGCAACAGAAGAGGCCGUGCUCAUGGUGGCCAGGGCAGACAUGGCCGUAUGGUUCAGCACCUGCUUGGCCUCAGACACCUUUUGCUGGAACUCCACCGAGUCGACCGAGGCCUUCAGCUUGAACUCUGACUUGCUGUCCACAACGCCAAAGUCUGUGAAGUGCUUGAGCUGCCCCCCGACCCAUUUCAGCAUCUGCACAUAGUUGCUGAGCGGAGCCAGGUCCACUAGGACUUUCUUGGCCUCCAGGUUGCAGAGCAAACUUUUGGCCAGGCCCCGGAGGUUCUCCAGUGUGUUCUGAACGUUCCACAAGAUCACUAAACUUGUUCCGGCGGCGAUAAGUACAUUCCGCGUCUGCUUCAGGCCGCAGGAGAUGAGGACCAGCACGGCAAAGCAGCGGACGCAAUGCGAUGAGGACAAGGCUACGGUAGAACCAAUGGCAAAAGCAACCGCCACCCCAGCGGAAACCACGACCUCGUACUUCAGAGAGUAGCGCAGGCCAAGGAAGAGCAGGCAUGACAGGAAGAUGCUCAAGGCGAGACAGGCGACAGAGAGAAGCAGCUUGUCCCUCCGGCUGUCGGGCGAGUCAGCUGUGAAGAGCUGAACUGCACCACACCAGACCUGACGCAAGGUCCCCUUCAGCUGAGCUCCAGCGAUCCUCAUUGUCAGUGUCUACAGUACAAACACAUUUAAGUGAGAGAUUAAAAAAUGGCCCCAAAGUCCUUUUUUUGGGGACAUACUUUUGUGAUUUACAUUUUAAAAUAGAUUGUAGGCUACUGAUUAUUGAAUGAAAGAAGAAAUGAAGGGAAAGAAAGAGAUUAAAAAGAUACUUGGUUAUAGUUUUACUCAACUUCCUGGUUUUGAAGCUGAAUAGAAAUAAUCAGUCAUAAAGAACCUUAAUUCCUCAGUAAACCCUGAAUCUUACAAUCAAUCUUGGUGGUAGAUUUUGAAUAGUAGUCUGAAUGGCAGCUCAAUUCAGUCAACAUAUGUAUGUUUAAAUUGUACUCUGUACUUAAUAAAGAAAAAGUUAACUGUGA